AUGGAUAAGAAGCUCCCGGCCGUACCAGAUCGACAUCAGCCUCCGAAUGAUCCAGGACACCCUUUUUUUCAUACAAAACUUCAUCCCGAAUGCUUCAACCUUGUUGUACGUAAGCUUGCCAGCGCUGAAUUAGAGAGGACCGCAGGCACCAACUGGGUUGGGAGCAAACAUUAUUUCGACUUGCAGUUUCAUGCUCAGUCACAGGCCCUGAGGUACUCCUGGAUGACUCAAGGAGAGCGCAUCACGACGCUGAUUAACUAUGUUGUGGUCCAGCCUCUUCCUAAAUAUGAUUAUCUACUAUCCUUGAAACUUUCGGAUUCGUCAUACGGGUUACUUGUAGUCAACCGGCUGAGGAGGAGGGUUGUCGUGAUGGAUCCGUCCUUCAACACGUUUGAUCCUGAAGAUAGCACUCAUAACAUAUUGAUGAGGAAGGAAAUCACACUGCUGAAGGAAGAAUUCAACACUGUGUUGCAGACUAGGAUCGCUGGUUGGAAUAACCAAAUCAUGGAUUGGGAACAAGAUACCAUGUCCUGUGCUGCUCGUCGCAAACACUCCGGCUUCUUUGUGCUACAGGAGAUGGCCUACCAGAUUGGUCGUUUGCGUAGCAUGGGCUGGAUGAACACUACCCAAUACUAUAAGGAAGAAGAGAACGAGCAAGAAGCCGAGGUAUUGGGUACAGCAUCCGGGACAAGAGCAGGUCUUAGCCACGCAUUCAUGGCGCAGGUGAAGAUAAAUUCAGCCAUUUCCUCAGACAGGCUUUGCUCUGUCGGCGGCGCGGUCAGAGAGCAUAUUGAAGGAGCGCGCCGCCGGCCUGCUUUAUUCUCCGCAUGUCCUACCUAUAUAUAUGUUAACCUUCUCUGCCAUCCCUCCUCCCCCUCCUUGCUCUUCCUUCGGCCAUCAGAACAGCUGACCUGGACGAAAAUUUCCCAAGGAGUACCUUGUGAUCAUCUUUGGUUGAGAUAUUCUAUCAAAAGUGAGGGAGCUGACAUAUACAUCCUCUGUUCGCCACAUGCAUCCCAGUUCGCUCUGGCCCUCAUCAGUACAUCAGGGCAAUGGGUGCCAGUGCUGCUCCUGCAAAUGUUAAUGUGGCCUUCACAAUUCAAUCCAUUUGCUAGUUCACUAUGUACAGAUAAUGGGCAGCCUGCCACGGUCACCGCUGGUUAUCACCCCUUGCACCUGUACCUCUAUCCUCUUGCUUCACAUGGCCAUGAGACGCGAUGGUAUGGUGGUCGCCGCCGCCGUCGGAUAGGAUGGUGGACGCCGCCGGGCUUCCUCUCGUCCACCGGCCGGGGUGGGGAUGGAGACCGGUCUCGAUGGUGGUCGCCGCUGGAGACAGAGACCAGGAGCGGAGGGGUGCGGUAUGGGCGGAGCAAUCAGGACAGGGGAUGGAAGGAGAGGGGGAGACAGGGGACGGACAGAUCUGCGCCGCCGCCGAGCGCCGCGGUUCGUCGCCGCCGCUCUGUUCAACAUAUGCACAAAACCUACAAAAUCUCUACUCCUAAUGGAGCAGUUGGUAGUCUCCGUCGGUCAAUUUUCGUCCCACCAUUUUCGUCCGGUUUUUCGUCGGUUAACCUUCGUCACAUCCCUACUGCCACGCCUUCGUCCACCGGUUUACGAAAGAAAAAAAAUAGCCCAGCCACCCCGCAGUCCCGCACGACCUUGCCUCCUCGAUCCCACCUCGACAUCCAUCUCGCCGCCACCUCCUGCUCCGCCCCGCCGUGCACCGCCCGCCGCCACCGUGCCUGCGCCGCCGUCCUCCCUAUCGACUCCGCUGUCCGAAUCCCGCCGCCGCCGCGCCUGCGUCCCUCCCCAAACUUUGCAUCAUCCUCCGCGAUCCAGAUCCAGAUCCCAUCCGCCGCCCGCCCCGCCCCAUGGGGGGCUGCCACGCCAAGCCGCGCACCCGCCACGUCGACGGCGCCUCCCGCCGCCGCCCGCGCCGGCCACGCCGCCUCCACCCUCCCCCUGCGGCGGAAACCUUCUCCCAAGCCGCUGUGGAAGGCACCGGAGAAGCCUCCGGCCGCUGACCCGACCAAAGAGGAUGAGUUGCAGGGCGCAAAGAAGGACGCGGGGGCCGCCACUGCUGUUGGCGACGGCGGCGCUAGGAAGGGGAACUCGUCCCCAUUGCCGCCGCCGAGGAAGCUGCAAGAUGCGCCGGCGGUGAACCUCAACGCGUCCUGCUCCUCGGAGGCCUCCGUGGAGUCGCUCCGCGGCCGGGCCCCAGGCGGAAGGACGGAGAGGGGCUGGUCCCGGCCGACCGCGCCCAAGCGUGGGAAGGCUGUGUCUAAGGUGGUGGAGAAGCAUGCUGAUGUCGCGGAGGUUGCCGCUCCGGUGACGCCGGAGGCCGUCCGAGGGAGGAGCCGGUGCGCCUGGACGCCGCGGAUCCCCACGGACGCCGCGGCAGGGCAUGGUCGCGUUAAUCGCAUGGAGGGUCGCGUCGAGGAAAGCGACGACCUCGCAGGCACCGGGUCAAGCGGCUGGCCCUUCUUACGCGAUGGCGCCGUUCUUUUCUUCCCCGGCAGAGAUUGGUGCCGCCAUGGCCGCAUUGAGAGCGCGCUGGACAGCGGGAACUGUCGCGUCAAGGAGGACGCCAUGGACGGCGGAUCCUGGGCGCUGCACGUUGCUGCCGGCCACGGGAGGAUGCCAUACCCUUUGGGCGCAACAAACUCUUGGCCAUAGCCUCUUCCGCUUUUCACAACAAGGAAAGAGAUGCAUAUGAGAGGAAGAGAGCCUCCCCCAAGCUCUGUCUAGGCGAUGCAUGGGAAAUUUGGAAAUUUGGAAACUAUCAAGGAGAUGUCGAAUGAUGAAUAUACUCAGAUACUGAGACACAUUCUAAAACGUGUUUACGCAGGUGAUGGGGCUGCUGCCAGCUUGGGCCCGCUCAAGAACGGCGACUCUACAGGAGGGGGGUGGAGUCGCGGAAGCUCCUGUGCUAUUGGGAGCGACGGUUCCACAACGAGCCGGUCUUUCGUCACCGGCGAGUUGGAGGAUGUCCAAGGCCGGAAGUGUUCGUCACCACUGAGCCGCGUCUGAGAUAAUACUGACGCGAUGUCCAGAUUUGGAUGUCUCAUCUCUGAACAUUUGAAACGCCGAGUACUCCAUGAAAGCUUGCCUAGCCCUUUUGCGCAAUAUUAUAUCUUUGGACGUUUGCACUUCCGCGGCUCUAGACAUGAGCUUCCUUAUAUGAGUGCUAGCGCGCUACAUUGCAGAGAAAGCUUUGAGAAAAUGCUUUGUUCGGAUGAUAGACAAGAAUAAUCAAUCCUCAUUCCAAGGUUGCGAACCGGCUGCGCCAUCGACGACGAUGGCGAGUUUGGAUUAGAAAUGUGAAGAUGAGAAGAUAGUUGGGGAGGAAGAAGGUAUAAAAUCGACAAUAUCGUCUGAUGUGCGUGCGGAUCCUAAUGGUACAUGUUUGACGCGAUCGGUGCUAACCUAAUAAGAUAUAUGCGGUGGCGCGAGGUGGGGCGGCAAUGAGGCGGUUGUGCUGCAUGAGGCGGCCAAGUCCAAGGCUGCACCGGGGAGGCUCCUGUUGGGGCGACGCAUGGGCGGCAGCCACCCCCAAGACCCGUUAGCAUAAUGUCAUAACGAUAUAUUAAUAUUGAUUGUUGUGCAAAGGAGAAGGUUAUUGUUUGUAGUUAUAUUAGUUUAUUUCCUCAAUAUACAAUGACCUGGCUUAUUCUGUGUCCAAGAGGAAGGAAAAAUAUAUUUCUAGGUGUCAUGUGACUUACCUUUUAAAAGGAAUAACCUCAUGCUAUUCAGGCUUCACUAUUUGCUUCACAGAACUAUUGUAGCCAUAAAAAGAAAG
rnacentral:rRNA from 1 species